UGUAUGGUUAAGUGACUAAGCGUACACGGUGGAUGCCUGGGCAGUCAGAGGCGAUGAAGGACGUACUAACUUGCGAUAAGCGCAGAUAAGGCAGUAAGAGCCGUUUGAGUCUGCGAUUUCCGAAUGGGGAAACCCAACUGCAUAAGCAGUUACUGUUAACUGAAUACAUAGGUUAACAGAGCAAACCGGGGGAACUGAAACAUCUAAGUACCCCGAGGAGAAGAAAUCAACCGAGAUUCCGGUAGUAGCGGCGAGCGAACCUGGAUUAGCCCUUAAGCACUCGGUGAAGUAGGUGAACAAGCUGGAAAGCUUGGCGAUACAGGGUGAUAGCCCCGUAACCGACGCUUCA
rnacentral:rRNA from 1 species